UACGAAGGGGGCUAGCGUUGCUCGGAAUCACUGGGCGUAAAGGGCGCCUAGGCGGGAUGGCAAGUCAGUCGUGAAAUCUCUCGGCUCAACCGAGAAACGUCGGCUGAUACUGCCGUUCUUGAGGGAUGCAGAGGAGACUGGAAUUCCCGGUGUAGCGGUGAAAUGCGUAGAUAUCGGGAGGAAUACCGAUGGCGAAGGCAGGUCUCUGGGCUAUAACUGACGCUCAUGCACGAAAGCGUGGGGAGCAAACAGG
rnacentral:rRNA from 1 species